GAGCACCUGCUCUGAUACCACUUGUUGCCCAAGGUGACAACCCAAGAGGGGGGGUGAAUUGGGUCUUUUAAAAACUUUUCAACUACUUCUAAUCUUUUAGAGUUAAUUAAGCUAAGUUGUAUGGAUGCACGGAGAAGAGUUAAGCAAGCAUAGUAUCUAAGUAAGUAAGUGAGUGAGGAAGUUAGAUAACAAAGAGCAUCACAAACACAACAAAAGUAUAGUGGUUCGGUGCAUCCCAGCACCUACAUCCACUCCCAAGACCUCUUGGGAAUUUUCACUAUAAUUCCUCAGAUUACAGCCGGUUGUUUUACAAGCUCACAACCCAACUUGUUGUUUUGCGAGAUCACAACGAACUCGGUCGGUUUUCACAGGCUCAC
rnacentral:lncRNA from 1 species